CGCCACCUAAUUCACCGCCACCACCUGUUUAUCAGUAUCCAUCACCUCCACCUCCACUGUACUCGCCGCCUCCACCACCCAAUUCACCUCCUCCUCCACCUCCAUGCAUUGAGCCACCACCGCCACCAUCACCACCUCCAUGCAUAGAACCUCCACCGCCACCGUCAUCACCACCACCGGUAUAUUACAUGCCGCCAUCUCCCUCGCCACCGCUACCGUCACCACCUCCACCACCACCAGUCCACUGUGAGCCUCC
rnacentral:lncRNA from 1 species